CCUGGUUUUGUUAAAAACAAGACUGGUUCUCUCAGUGAUUUUUCUUUCAGCUAAGUUCUUCUAGGUGACUGUACGUUUCUGAGACUUAGCCUGCAUAUUUCUCCUAAGAUGCUGUACUCGGUGCUGAUAAGAGACCAACGGAAUGCUGAAGAAGCUCGUGUUUAGAUUUAUUACUAUGGUAGCCAAGAAAGACUGAUAAGUUUUCCCACGGUCCAUUGUGAGAGGGGCGUGUUUGAGGAGGGGUGGAUGGAACAGGUGACUAGAACUGACCAAUGGAAGCAUUCCAUCCCAUAAUCAUCAUACCCCCUAUAUAAGAGGGUGAUCACGAGGGUCACGCUCUCUUUGACCAUGGCCGGCAUCUAGAGAGGACCCAGUCUGUCUGCCUAUGAUCUACAGGCCUCAGGCCCUGCAUCCCUGCAACCAGGUUCUAGUUUGCUGUGAAGUCCUGCCCAUGACUUCCGGGGGCCUGAGCUGCACCUGCUGGAGGUGCCAGCUCCGUACAUCCAGCUCCACUGCUGCUGGAGGGACACCAACUCCACAUCGAGAGCACUUGAGAUUGGCAGUGUCAGACCAAGCCAAUUCACGUUCAUGCUACGCUGGCUGCUCACACUUGAUGUUCUGCUACCAAAUGGAUGUAGAGGAAUGGUACCAACAACCAGUGAACGUCAGAAGCUAUUCAUUCUCAAGAGUGAAACAGACCGCCCAACAUACCGUCAGUGAAUACUCCACGCGGAUUAUACUACAGUCAAGGAUUGAAGGGGAAACAGGUGGAAUUUUCAACUGUUUGCCAUUCCAGGUUUCUGUUUUGCCAGCUGACAAGGAUUCCCCACAGAGGUUGGCAACAACCUGUUUGACUUGCUUCAUUUUCCCUUUGGCAUAGAAUGCCUGUGUUUGGUAAAUGGUUGCUUUUGGCACCACCAUACGGGAAGAGCAGUUCUCAAUCUCUGCAAAGAUCUGAAUUGAUUCACCUGAAACAAAUAAACAAACAAACAAAACCACA